rnacentral:rRNA from 1 species
UACCAGCACCCGAGUGGUCGGGACGAUUAUUGGGCCUAAAGCAUCCGUAGCCGGUUCUACAAGUCUUCCGUUAAUCCACCUGACUUAACAGAUGGGCUGCGGAGGAUACUAUGGAGCUAGGAGGCGGGAGAGGCAAGCGGUACUUAGUGGGUAGGGUAAAAUCCGUUGAUCCAUUGAAAGACCACCAGUGGCGAAGGCGGCU